UUUUAUUCUGGGAAGAACACAAGUGUCACGGCAAUUCCAAUGACACAGGUCAUAUCCUGGUGGUAGCGGCAGUUCCCCGUCUCCCCAGAGAUGCUGCAAUUGAGUGGCACAUCAUUGCAGUGGUGGACGAACCAUUUAGAAGGAAGUAUUUUGCUUUGAAGACAAUACUGAGGGUUUUCAAAUUGAGUGUGAAGCGGUGGCAUCCAGUUCUGCAUCAAGUACCUCAAUUGCCAUUUCCUUCAAGAUGGACGUCACUGUCUAUUUCCGCACCUGAUUUAAACAGGACACUAGAAGACCUUAUGGCUAUGCUUCUAGAAGCAAGAAGUCUCUGAAGACAGCCAAACCGCACCGCUGUGUUUUUGAAGAUUCUAUAGAAAAGACAGCAUUCAUGCCAAAGUACUACAUGCAGACUAAACAGAAUUAUGACAAUUGUGUCAUACUGACCCUGUGGUGCUCUUUUCUUUAUAUUAUGAGGAAGAGAGCAAGCCACAGGUGACUCUGGCCACCAUCCAGUGAUCAGUCACCUGACCCUUGAGUGGAUAGUUAUGCAUAGAAUCCGUGUUAUCUGAGUUCAGGUUCAAUGUCCUUUUCACUGCUCCACUGACUGCUGCAAGAAGAGAAGAACAGGUAUAUGGGAACUAGAUAAAGAAAUACUUUCCCAUGUCACUGGGAAGCCUGUCAGUGGCUUUGAAACUGGCUCCUAAAGGGAAAAACAGAAACUCUACUAAUAAACUCAGUGCCUAAUGAGCAUCACCAAAUCUUUUUGCAGCCUUGGGAUUUUCUAUCAUUUAAUCUUUUGUGAAAUAAAAGGCACCAUCAUGGCCAUACCAUA